rnacentral:rRNA from 1 species
UGGGGAAUAUUGCACAAUGGGCGAAAGCCUGAUGCAGCAACGCCGCGUGAGUGAUGAAGGUCUUCGGAUUGUAAAGCUCUGUCUUUUGGGACGAUAAUGACGGUACCAAAGGAGGAAGCCACGGCUAACUACGUGCCAGCAGCCGCGGUAAUACGUAGGUGGCGAGCGUUGUCCGGAUUUACUGGGCGUAAAGGGUGCGUAGGCGGAU